rnacentral:rRNA from 1 species
UACGUAGGGCGCAAGCGUUGUCCGGAAUUAUUGGGCGUAAAGAGCUCGUAGGCGGCUUGUCACGUCGGGUGUGAAAGCCCGGGGCUUAACCCCGGGUCUGCAUUCGAUACGGGCUAGCUAGAGUGUGGUAGGGGAGAUCGGAAUUCCUGGUGUAGCGGUGAAAUGCGCAGAUAUCAGGAGGAACACCGGUGGCGAAGGCGGCAUCCUGGACCAACACUGACGCUGAGGAGCGAAAGCCAGGGGAGCAAACGGG